rnacentral:rRNA from 1 species
UAAGCAUAUCAAUAAGCGGAGGAAAAGAAACCAACAGGGAUUGCCUCAGUAACGGCGAGUGAAGUGGCAACAGCUCAAAUUUGAAAUCUGGCCUUCAGGCCCGAGUUGUAAUUUAUAGAGGAUGCUUUUGGUUAGGUGCCUUCCGAGUUCCCUGGAAUGGGACGCCAUAGAGGGUGAGAGCCCCGUCUGGUCGGAUGCCGAGCCUCUGUAAAGCUCCCUCGACGAGUCGAGUAGUUUGGGAAUGCUGCUCAAAAUGGGAGGUAUAUGUCUUCUAAAGCUAAAUACCGGGCAGAGACCGAUAGCGCACAAGUAGAGUGAUCGAAAGAUGAAAAGCACUUUGAAAAGAGAGUUAAAUAGCACGUGAAAUUGUUAAAAGGGAAGCGUUUAUGACCAGACUUGCGCCGACUGAUCAACCAGCGUUCUCGCUGGUGCACUCUGUCGGCUCAGGCCAGCAUCGGUUCGCCCCGGGGGACAAAAGCUAGGGGAAUGUGGCUCUUCGGAGUGUUAUAGCCCCUAGCAUAAUACCCUGAGGCGGACCGAGGUUCGCGCACUGCAUGGAUGCUGGCGUAAUGGUCAUCAACGACCCGUCUUGAAACACGGACCAAGGAGUCGUCUUCGUAUGCGAGUGUUCGGGUGUCAAACCCCUACGCGUAAUGAAAGUGAACGCAGGUGAGAGCUUCGGCGCAUCAUCGACCGAUCCUGAUGUUCUCGGAUGGAUUUGAGUAAGAGCAUACGGGGCCGGACCCGAAAGAAGGUGAACUAUGCUUGUAUAGGGUGAAGCCUGGGGAAACCCCGGUGGAGGCUCGCAGCGGUUCUGACGUGCAAAUCGAUCGUCAAAUAUGAGCAUGGGGCGAAGACUAAUCGAACCUUCUAGUAGCUGGUUUCCGCCGA